rnacentral:rRNA from 1 species
GACGAACGCUGGCGGCGUGCUUAACACAUGCAAGUCGAACGGUGAACCUAUUCGGAGGGGAUCAGUGGCGAACGGGUGAGUAACACGUGGGCAACCUGCCCCCGGCUCUGGGAUAACUCCAAGAAAUUGGGGCUAAUACCGGAUGUUCACCGCUUCCCGCAUGGGUGGUGGUGGAAAGGGUUUCCGGCUGGGGAUGGGCCCGCGGCCUAUCAGCUUGUUGGUGGGGUAGUGGCCUACCAAGGCGACGACGGGUAGCCGGCCUGAGAGGGUGACCGGCCACACUGGGACUGAGACACGGCCCAGACUCCUACGGGAGGCAGCAGUGGGGAAUAUUGCGCAAUGGGCGGAAGCCUGACGCAGCGACGCCGCGUGGGGGAUGACGGCCUUCGGGUUGUAAACCUCUUUCAGCAGGGACGAAGCGCAAGUGACGGUACCUGCAGAAGAAGCACCGGCCAACUACGUG